CUUCAACCUCUAACAAACUGGAGGCAGACUUAUGAAAAAUUGAAGCCCUCCUCAGCCUGUUGUUUAUGUAUCGUAUGGGUAUGAAGAUGCAGCGGAGGGUCAGAUGUGCCGCGAGCUGAGUUUCCUGAUUUAACAUCGUCUGAACAUUAUUCAUAAAGCCGAGGUCUGAGUGGCCUCUUUUUUUUUUUUUCCUCCCAGAGUGCUGCUUGGAGAAAAGAUUAAUUCUUCCUCACAUUUGGCUGCCAGUUUCAUCUUUUAUUCCUCUGGUGCUGAACAUACUGGCAACCAAAUACUCUAUUCAUACAGACACACAGGUUACAUAAACACAAAUAAGUCCCCAAAAUGUAUUUUCUUUCAAAAACCUGUCAAGAUGAACUCAAAAACUGCUGCUUUAACUAUCAAUUAUUUCUGUUACUGAUCAAUCUGCAGACUAUUUUCAUGAUAAAGCAGUAAGAAAUGUAAUUGGUUUAGUCUAAGGCUGUAGUCUCCCAGUCGAUAGGCUCUUGUCUGACCAAUGACGUUGGCAUUACACCAUAUCCAGGGCUUCCAACCCCUGACAGUUUACUGAGAAGAUAAAGCUGUGUUUGCUUGUGGGGGCAGAUAACUCUGGUUCACACUCCAACAUGAUAGGUGGUGAUAACGCACCUUAACACUGGUUGCCACCCGCCAUAAAAAUGUAGAAGAAGAAGACGAGAGCGCUGCAGACCCAGCGGCAGGCUGAGGAGACCAGGGUGAGUCUGAGACGGGCUUGUCAGGCUCCGAGAUAACAUUAUCUUCUGCCUUCUGCUUAGAAGUGGUGAAUUUACAGCUCACAGCAACUUAAUACGAUAUAGUCUCUGGCUCUGUUUGAUAUCUGGUGGUAUCUCUUCAUGGUUUGGUAACUUGACAGUUCAGUCAAAGGCUCGAAUCAACAGACCAGUACAGACAGCCAUGAAGAUUAUGGGAGUCCAUCAGUCUUCAGGAUAUUUUUCAGCAAACCUUAAUCAGACGGGCACAAAAAAGUCAUCUCAGACCCAACUCAUGUUCUUCACCCUGAAUAUCAGUUCCUUCCCUCAGGCAGACGGUACAGAGGAUCAACCGUUCCAUCGAAGUCCUCAACACCACCCAGGCUGUAAUGUGGCGAGAAGAAGAGAGCGUUCAGCAUGUUAAAGACUUGUUCUGGAGACCUCUGCUUAAACUGCAUCACCUGAGCCACACUGACGUUUAAAUAAAACUAAAAAUGUAAAGCCUCUAAAGGCACCAACACAACACAAGAGCUGGAUGGAGAUAACGUCCUACAUCAGCGUUUCCCACAUUCUUAAAGUCUGCUCAAGGAUAUUGACGAUAUAUAUCAGGAAACUGAGAUACAGAACCACAGAUCAGACCUGGACUCUGUGUGAAAACUGGUCAAAAAUCAAUACAGCUGUCAGAAAAUGAUCCGUCCAAGUUUGUCUCUGUUGCUGUUGCUUCAGUUUUUGUUUCUGCAUGUGUGUGUGUGUUUGCAUUUCUAUUAAUACACUUAUGGUUUGUAACGCAUCUCGGUGGGAAAGUGAAAGAGCAGCACUUGGCUCUCAAACACUACUCCCACUGUGAACGUGUGCGACUGUGUGUGAACAGAACGUUGGUUUCAGCGAAGCUUCCCUGAUUGAAUAAAGAUUAAAGGAGACGUAUUCUGCA